rnacentral:rRNA from 1 species
AUAUUGGUCAAUGGGCGAUGGCCUGAACCAGCCAAGUAGCGUGAAGUAUGACUGCCCUAUGGGUUGUAAACUUCUUUUAUAAAGGAAUAAAGUCGGGUAUGCAUACCCGUUUGCAUGUACUGUAUGAAUAAGGAUCGGCUAACUCCGUGCCAGCAGCCGCGGUAAUACGGAGGAUCCGAGCGUUAUCCGGAUUUAUUGGGUUUAAAGGGAGCGUAGAUGGAUGUUUAAGUCAGUCGUGAAAGUUUGCGGCUCAACCGUAAAAUUGCAGUGGAUACUGGAUGGCUUGAGUGCAGGAGAGGCAGGCGGAAUUCGGUGUAUAGCGGUGAAAUGCCGAGAUAUCACGAAGAACUCCGAUUGCGAAGGCAGCCUGCUAAGCUGCAACUGACAUUGAGGCUCGAAAGUGUGG